rnacentral:lncRNA from 1 species
CUUCGAUUCAAUAGAUAACCUAGUGCCUAUCCACUGAGAAUCAAGGACUGCUAGUGAAGCAAAACUGUUUCCUGGCAAAUGCAUACAGGAUUGAUGGACGAAUUAGCAGCAAGUAAGGUAACUGUAUGCUCAUGGUAAAGGAUAUGUUAAAGUGGGAAUAAGGAAAGGAUAUCAAACAAGGUCUGAAAAAACAGAUUUGAACCUGUCUGCUGAAUGUAAGAUAAGUCGACAUUUUCACUGGACCGAUUGGACUGAAAAGGCAAGAUUGAAUGAGCCUUUUCCUAAACCACCCGUGGCGCACCCCACCCCGUAUCCUGUGCCUGUAAAUACCCCAGACUCAACCAGCAGAGAGGACAAGCAGCUGGACAUUGGGGACUACGGCUAGAUGUCGGAGAGAAGUGGCUUGACAUCAGAGGGACAGCUAGAUGGCGUAACUUCAGAUAAGAAUCCAGCUGGAGAUGGACUUUAGAAGAUUACCUACCCACCUCAUCCCCAUUUCUGCUCCCCUUCCCAUUGAGAGCCAUUUUCACUGGCAAUAAAAUCCUCUGCAUAUACCAUCCUUCAAAUUUAUUUGUGUGACCUCAUUUUUCCUGGAUGCCGGACAAGAGCUCAGGAGCCACAAAUGCAGAUACAAAAGGCUGUCACACUGGACCUUUGCCCUCGCUGACAGAGAGCAUCUGCCUCAUGCCAAAAGACAGAGGGCCCACAGAGCUGUUAACACUUAAGCUGUCCAUGGACAGAAGAUCUUAAAAAGCACUGUAACACACACUCUGGGACUUCAGGAGUCACAGUCACCCCCCGCCUGGAUAUUGCCUUGGGGCCUGCAUGAAGUUCACUCCUGCAGAUGCCCAAAAAAUGCUCACUCCAGCUCCUGUACCCCCUUACCUGUGAGCUCCCUCCCAUGAGGGUGGAACACAGUGGGUCUGAGUGAGUGGAGUUUGAUCCUGCUAGCAGCAAAACAGCCAGCUCAUUCCAGUGCUCAUGCAUUCUAGUUUCUGCCUCAUUCUCUCGUGUGCUCCCGCCUGUGAGGAGUUGACAGUGGCAGGCUGAGUAAACAAGGCACCCCUGUCACAAGUCCUAUGAACGGGUCAGGAAAAUAUCCUGCUUCAGUUUUUCUGAAAUUUUUGAGGAUGGAAUGCCAUUUGUUGCUGUAUUUUUUUCUCCCCCUAUGGAGUUAGUGUCUGUGUCAUUAGUUAAUAUAAAUUAAUUUAUCACAGAAAAAAUAUUUUGUUGACAAAGGUAUGGUCUGGACAAAUUAUUUAAACAAUUCAAGUCUCAGUUUCCUCCUAUGCCGUGUGGGAAAUAUUUUAUUUCCUUUUCAGUGUUGUUGUACAGAAGACAAUAUAUGUAAACCAACCAAAUUCAAUGCCCUGAAUCUAAAUAUGUAGUGUUAUUAUUUUAGUAAAUAAAUGUGUUGUUAAUAAGGCACUACUACAGUAAAUGAAUUGAAUAUCUAUUUUAAUAAAAAUUGUA